rnacentral:rRNA from 1 species
CGGAGGUGCAAGCGUUGUCCGGAUUUAUUGGGUUUAAAGGGUGCGUAGGCGGCCGAUUAAGUCUGGGUGAAAGCCCGUUGCUCAACAACGGAACUGCCCUGGAAACUGGUCGGCUUGAGUACAGACGAGGGUGGCGGAAUGGAUGGUGUAGCGGUGAAAUGCAUAGAUACCAUCCAGAACCCCGAUUGCGAAGGCAGCUGCCUAGACUGUAACUGACGCUGAGGCACGAAAGCGUGGGGAGCGAACAGGAUU